CUUUUCCUUUGCACAGGUUUUGAUAAAUCUCCCUCCAUGCCCUUCAGGGGUUCAGGGGGGAAUAUUCUGUGGACAGGAGGAUGAAGAAAAUGAUUUUGUCCAAAAAACACCAUAGUCUCAACAUGCUGACAUUCUAUAAAACUGCCCCUGAGCCCCAAAUCGAAAAACACCAAAGAUGAAUGAAAAAACGCCAAAGGAAAAAACAGCAGGCAGCAGAGGGUCCUGUGCUGGGGUAAGGCAUGAGCGGAUUUACAGUUUCUGGCAACACAUCCGAACAAAUGCAUUAUUUAUGAAGUCUGGCCAGCCCCUUUAACAGCAAAAGCAACUUUACUGCCACAUAAAGGUAAGCU